rnacentral:rRNA from 1 species
AUACGUAGGGGGCCCGCGUUAUCCGGAUUUACUGGGUGUAAAGGGAGCGUAGACGGCAAAGCAAGUCUGAAGUGAAAGCUCCGGGCUCAACCCGGGAAUUGCUUUGGAAACUGUUUAGCUGGAGUGCAGGAGAGGUAAGCGGAAUUCCUAGUGUAGCGGUGAAAUGCGUAGAUAUUAGGAGGAACAACGGCGGCGAAGGCGGCUUACUGGACUGUAACUGACGUUGAGGCUCGAAAACGUGGGGAGCAAACAGGAUUAGAUACCCUGGUAGUCCACGCCGUAAACGAUGAUUACUAGGUGUUGGUUGUCAUAGACAAUCGGUGCCGCAGCAAACGCAAUAAGUAAUCCACCUGGGGAGUACGUUCGCAAGAAUGAAACUCAAAUGAAUCGACGGGG